UAGAAAUUUUAUUUUUAUAGUAAUAUCCCGAUUAAGUAAGGCUAUAUAAUAAUUAUGUUGUUUUUGUGUCAAUAAAAUUGGUUAUUAUUAUAUAGUAAUGAAAUAUUAGACGGUUGCUUGGAUAUCUGGUUGUUGAAAUGAUGGUUUAUACCAGUAAGAUUAUCAGGGAUUAGCUUGAUGUUUAAUUCAGUAUAAAAAGUCAAAUGAGAGGAAGGGGUCUUAAUAGUAGACAUAAUAAGUGUAUUAUUACUAUAACUUGUAAAAUGAUGAUUAAAAUAUAUUACUGUUUUGUUUUGAUUAAAGAAGUGAUUAAUUUAUUUUUAUAAAUAAUGAUGGUAUGAGUAAGUGAAGUUUAGUUUUAAUUUAUUAAAAUUGAAAAAAUAAGGUGAAUAGGAGAUGAUUAAUAAGAUUCGGCAAAUGUACUUUCCCAUGUUUAUCAAAAACAUUUCUCUUAGAAUUAUUAAGAGUAGGGCCUGCCCGGUGAUUUAAACGGCUGCGGUAUUUUGACCGUACAAAGGUAGCAAAAUAAUUUGUUCUUUAAUUGGGGACUGGUAUGAAUGGCUAUAUAAGAAGUACACUGUUUAAAAUUAAAUACAUAAUUUAAUUAUUAAGUGAAAAGGCUUAAAUGUGGUAAAGUGACAAGAAGACCCUAAGAGCUUUAUAAAAUUUUAUGUAUUAAUUAGAAGGUAAUAAUAAAUAAAUAUAUAGGGUUUGAUUUUACUGGGGCGGUAAAUAUAGUAACUAUUAUUAAAAUUACUUAAAUACUAGAAAUAGUUAAAUUUAUAUCUAUCUUAAAAUAAAUAAUAAGUUACCUUAGGGAUAACAGCAUAAUCUUUUUAGAGAGAUCAUAUUGACAAAAAGGUUUGUGACCUCGAUGUUGGAUUUAGAUGUCUUUAGGGUGCAGCAGCUUUAUAAGAUGUCUGUUCGACCAUUAAAAUCU
rnacentral:rRNA from 1 species